AAGCACUUGUACUUUCAGUACUGAUUGAUUGGUAGAAGUCAUUCCACCCCGAAUUACCAGCUAUUUGGGUCUCAGCCUGCAAUCUUACCCAGCCAGAAGACCGUGUCCUCUAGAAAUUUAACAUUGAAAAGAGACUGUCACUGGCUCAGGUUAUUGUGUAGUAUUAUUAAAGGUCUUCUGAAAUGAAUGCAUCUAAGAUAUGGCAAUCAAUACAAGAUCAUACACAGACUGGAGCACCAUCCUCCUCACUCAAGCUAAGACAGUUCUGGGAGAGCCCUGUGGCUGUGGAAGUGAAAAGCAAUCCAGGUGGACUCUUCCCCGUUCCCACCAUAGACUUCUGGCAGCAGAGUGCAGUUGCAUCAUUUCUGUGGAGCUUCCAGGCAAGGUUGGCUGCUAACUGUUUUUGAGGGCUUAAAAAUCCAGAAAGUUGUAUUGUUACAACAUCCAUGAAUCUACAGCUGCAUUGUGCUUGGCUAAGUGUUUGCUUUGAUCUUCCCAGAGAACCUAACCAUAGCCAGCUAUUUAAUGAGCAAGGAAAGGACUUCUCAAGUCUUCUGACCCAUCCCCUGAACCACUACAAGGAAAGCUACCUUUGUCAUUCCAGUGAAAAACCUUUAAAUCUGUUCUUAAAAACUCCCCACGAUGGGAACGCCAAAGCUUCUCCAAUCAGCCUGUUCCAGUGCACCCCUGCCACUAGUUUCCCUAAACUCUAACCCAAAUAUUUCUUGCCAAAGUUUAAGUCUAUCAUCCUCAUUGUAUCAUCUGUGGAUGUGGUUAAUAAACUAUUUUUUGUUUGAAUGCCACUUACGGACUGUACCAUGCUAUUCCCUUGCCGGUGGUCCAUUCACUGGGCUCAGCAAUCCCAUUUUCUCACUUUUCUCCCACAGGCCAUGUUUUCAGGUGGCCCAACCAUUCCUCUUUGGCUUCUGCACUCUCUCCAACUGCUCUGUAUACUUGAAGCCGAGGCCCCAGUGUGAGACCCCAGUGGUGCUGAACACAGCCGGGGUAUAUCCUAUCAGAAGUACUCCAUGCACACACUGGUCUGGUGUUUCCUUUUUCACUUUUUUGAAACAAUCUGGCUUGUAUUCACUAUAAGCUUUUCACCAGGUGCAUCUGAUACUGUGUAUUAGUGCUUACUCGUUGUUGUUGUUGUACUUAUGACCUGUCCAUAUUGAACUUCAUCAAUUUUUAUUUGUAUUUCAAAGAUCACAUUGAACUUUAGUCUUGCCCUUCAAUAUACCAGCAGUGGCUUCAGCAUUCAGAUCGGCUGCAAUUCUAAACAUGCCCUUUCUGUUUGUUCAUCCCUGAUUUUGGGGAAAAUAUUGAACAGAACUGAAUCUGAGAAAGUUUUCUGCAGAUCCUCACUUGGCAUGUCCACUUGAUAAUGAGUUGUUGAUGUUCGCCCUCCGGCUGUGACUGGAUGCCUGGGAACUGGUAUCGGGGUAUCCACUUUGGCAUAUGCCCUAAAGAUUUACUCAAAACCUCAUGAAAUUUAUAGGGCUAAAAGUGGCCAAGUACCCCCAUCUGUUUUAUCUAAACCCGAAUAAACCUGAGGCUCUUUGGUGCCUGAAAAAUUAUGUUUAUUGCCAGUUCAGAAUGGGAGUUACUGAAACUGCCCGAGGGCAAAAACACUGCCUUCUUUGGGAAUUGGAAACAACCUGAGAGCCACCGUCUCAUGAGAUUUCCAGCUCAUACAAACGAGCUUCUGUGUGGGUAGGAAGCGCUGCGGUAAAUGGAUCUGAAGAUGAGAAGGGGCAGAAAACUUUUGAACCUGAAGUGUGAACUAAAGCUCCUUCAAGGCAAUGGAAAGUCUCUGACUGGUGGCUCGUGGCCAUGUGGAGGCCUGUUAAAAAAGCAGAGCAGAGAAAGAAAAAAUAUACUCUUGAAGCAAAAAGAUUGUUAAGAUAGGAGAGGAAAAUACAUUUCGGUAGAAACUUCAAGGGCUGUGGAAAGAUAUCCUUCCAAAGGCUACUUGGAAAUGUUUAGAGAAAGCCCUUUCCAGUUAAGUAAUGUUGACAGCACGGGCCCUGAAAGACAGAGAGGAGGUGGAACAGAACAGCAAUAAAACCAAAACAGAAAUGCAACAAAUUUAGAAAAACUUAAACCAAGUGAACUUGUAGCUUUCUGAAACUCCAGGUGGUGUGUGCCAGCCUGCCCACGUGUUCAGGCUUUUGUUUUGAGAAUUAACUUUCUCCUGUCUGGGUGGUGAGCGCAGCACCAGCACCGCAGGGGAGCUGCCAGCUGUCCUCAGGGCGAUGGCAGCAGCAGAGAGCCGGGGCUGAAGGAGCUUUGCUCUGUGUGUCUUUGGGACUCAGUGCCACGCAGCUGCUUUCCCAUUCUCCUCUUCCUGGGUGCGUUUUGCUCCCAUUCAAACAAAGGUGCCGUGAUGUUGCUGGUUUGGUGCAGCUUCUCCUGCGCUUCGCUCAAGCAGACAAAUGCUGUGACUUGCCUUGCCUUCCUAAUUAGGAACGAUACUGCCGAGUGCCUUUCGCGGGGCUGCUUAAUGUAUGUGUGUUUAUAUGAAAGUUUGAGGGCAGAAUUUGUCUAUGCUGUAACAUUUUAUCAGCAGCAGGAUAGCAAUCAGAGGAGAAUUAGUCCCUGGCUGCUAUUUGGUUUGUAGUGCCUGUAGCUCGACUGCUUGUUACAAUAAUGAGAAAUGCAAGUAAGCAGCAUCACAUCAGCACUCGCAGUCCCACUUUCUAUUGCUGUCAUCAAAGGGUUUAGGAAAGUUUGCAUUCAUAGUAGUUUUUUACAAUGCACAUAUGCAUUUGCACAAUAUUGUCUGGGAAAUCCUGCACUGUAGAUGGCAGCUUAUGUGUAAGGCAUGAUUUGGGUUUGGGCACUUGGUCCAGUAGUCAAGGCCAGGUGAGAACCAGGACUGGAAGCAGAAGGUCGAGGUAAGUCCAGAUGACCCAUGAAAAAAAGCGUAGCUGGGAGCUGGAUUGUAGCCAGAAAGCUGAAGAGAAGUGGAGUUGUACCUCCUGAUGUAGGAAGCCGGCGUGGAUUUUAACAAGUAAACUGGGAUUGUCCUGACUAUCAAAAAGCACUCAGAACAAACACACUUAGAGCUUGUAGGUACUUACACGUUGCAGACAAUUCUCAUUCAUCUCUGCCUUUUUUUUUAGCUUGGGGAAGUGGAAGCUUUGUACUGGCUAAAAAUAGCAGUACUAACAUGUACUUUUAUUGCA